AAUUGCUAGUAAUCGUGGAUCAGCAUGCCACGGUGAAUACGUUCCCGGGUCUUGUACACACCGCCCGUCACACCAUGGGAGUCGGAAAUGCCCGAAGUCAGUGACCCAACCCGCAAGGAGGGAGCUGCCGAAGGUGGAGCCGGUAACUGGGGUGAAGUCGUAACAAGGUAAC
rnacentral:rRNA from 1 species